rnacentral:rRNA from 1 species
GAUGAACGCUGGCGGCGUGCCUAAUACAUGCAAGUCGAGCGAACAGACGAGGAGCUUGCUCCUCUGACGUUAGCGGCGGACGGGUGAGUAACACGUGGAUAACCUACCUAUAAGACUGGGAUAACUUCGGGAAACCGGAGCUAAUACCGGAUAAUAUAUUGAACCGCAUGGUGCAAUAGUGAAAGACGGUUUUGCUGUCACUUAUAGAUGGAUCCGCGCCGCAUUAGCUAGUUGGUAAGGUAACGGCUUACCAAGGCAACGAUGCGUAGCCGACCUGAGAGGGUGGUCGGCCACACUGGAACUGAGACACGGUCCAGACUCCUACGGGAGGCAGCAGUAGGGAAUCUUCCGCAAUGGGCGAAAGCCUGACGGAGCAACGCCGCGUGAGUGAUGAAGGUCUUCGGAUCGUAAAACUCUGUUAUUAGGGAAGAACAAAUGUGUAAGUAACUAUGCACGUCUUGACGGUACCUAAUCAGAAAGCCACGGCUAACUACGUG